rnacentral:rRNA from 1 species
CCUACGGGAGGCUGCAGUGGGGAAUUUUGGACAAUGGGCGCAAGCCUGAUCCAGCUAUUCCGCGUGUGGGAAGACGGCCUUAGGGUUGUAAACCACUUUUGUAGAGAACGAAAAGUAUAUUGAUAAUACCGAUAGAUGAUGACGGUACUCUAAGAAUAAGCACCGGCUAACUACGUGCCAGCAGCCGCGGUAAUACGUAGGGUGCGAGCGUUAAUCGGAAUUACUUGGCGUAAAGGUUGUGCGGGCGGUUUUGCAAGAUGGAUGUGAAAGCCCCGGGCUUAAGCUGGGAAAGCCAGACAUGACUGCAAGACUAGAGUGCGUCAGAGGGGGGUGGAAUUCCAAGUGUAGCAGUGAAAUGCGUAGAUAUUGGGAAGAACACCGAUGGCGAAGGCAGCCCCCUGGGACGCAACUGACGCUCAGACACGAAAGCGUGGGGAGCAAACAGGAUUAGAUACCCCAGUAGUC